GCAUAUCAAUAAGCGGAGGAAAAGAAACCAACAGGGGACUUGCCCUCAGUAACGGCGAGUGAAGCGGCAACAGCUCAAAUUUGAAAUCUGGCCUCUGGCCCGAGUUGUAAUUUGCAGAGGAUGUUUCUGGCGAGGUGCCUUCCGAGUUCCCUGGAACGGGACGCCAUAGAGGGUGAGAGCCCCGUACGGUUGGUCGCUAAGCCUCUGUGAAACUCCUUCGACGAGUCGAGUAGUUUGGGAAUGCUGCUCUAAAUGGGAGGUGUACGCCUUCUUAAGCUAAAUACCGGCUAGAGACCGAUAGCGCACAAGUAGAGUGAUCGAAAGAUGAAAAGCACUUUGAAAAGAGGGUUAAAAAGUACGUGAAAUUGUUGAAAGGGAAGCGCUCUUGACCAGACUUGCGCCGGUUGAUCAUCCGCCGUUCUCGGUGGUGCACUCUGCCGGCUCAGGCCAGCAUCAGUUCGGUCCGGGGGAUAAAGGCUUCGGGAAUGUGGCUCUCUCCGGGGAGUGUUAUAGCCCGUUGCGUAAUACCCUGGGCUGGACUGAGGUUCGCGCAUCUGCAUGGAUGCUGGCGUAAUGGUUAUCAGUGACCCGUCUUGAAACACGGACCAAGGAGUCGUCUUCGUAUGCGAGUGUUCGGGUGUCAAACCCCUACGCGUAAUGAAAGUGAACGUAGGAGAGAGCUUCGGCGCAUCUCCGACCGAUCCUGAUGUUCUCGGAUGGAUUUGAGUAAGAGCAUACGGGGCCGGACCCGAAAGAAGGUGAACUAUGCCUGUAUAGGGUGAAGCCAGAGGAAACUCUGGUGGAGGCUCGCAGCGGUUCUGACGUGCAAAUCGAUCGUCAAAUAUGGGCAUGGGGGGCGAAAGACUAAUCGAACCUUCUAGUAGCUGGGUUUCCGCCGAAG
rnacentral:rRNA from 1 species